rnacentral:rRNA from 1 species
UGCGAAGGGGGCUAGCGUUGCUCGGAAUUACUGGGCGUAAAGCGCACGUAGGCGGAUUGCUAAGUCAGGGGUGAAAUCCUGGAGCUCAACUCCAGAACUGCCUUUGAUACUGGCGAUCUUGAGUCCGGGAGAGGUGAGUGGAACUGCGAGUGUAGAGGUGAAAUUCGUAGAUAUUCGCAAGAACACCAGUGGCGAAGGCGGCUCACUGGCCCGGUACUGACGCUGAGGUGCGAAAGCGUGGGGAGCAAACAGGG